rnacentral:tRNA from 1 species
GGAGAGGUGGCAGAGUCUGGUUGAAUGCGCACGACUCGAAAUCGUGUGUACCGAAAGGUACCGUGGGUUCGAAUCCCACCCUCUCCGCCA